rnacentral:rRNA from 1 species
CAGGCCUAACACAUGCAAGUCGAACGAGAUCUUUCGGGGUCUAGUGGCGCACGGGUGCGUAACGCGUGGGAAUCUGGCCUUGGGUUCGGAAUAACAGUUAGAAAUGACUGCUAAUACCGGAUGAUGACGUAAGUCCAAAGAUUUAUCGCCCAAGGAUGAGCCCGCGUAGGAUUAGCUAGUUGGUGAGGUAAAGGCUCACCAAGGCGACGAUCCUUAGCUGGUCUGAGAGGAUGAUCAGCCACACUGGGACUGAGACACGGCCCAGACUCCUACGGGAGGCAGCAGUGGGGAAUAUUGGACAAUGGGCGAAAGCCUGAUCCAGCAAUGCCGCGUGAGUGAUGAAGGCCUUAGGGUUGUAAAGCUCUUUUACCCGGGAUGAUAAUGACAGUACCGGGAGAAUAAGCUCCGGCUAACUCCGUGCCAGCAGCCGCGGUAAU